GAUGAAGAACGUAGCGAAAUGCGAUACUUGGUGUGAAUUGCAGAAUCCCGUGAACCAUCGAGUCUUUGAACGCAAGUUGCGCCCGAAGCCAUCAGGUUGAGGGCACGUCUGCCUGGGCGUCACAUAUCGUUGCCCAAUGCCUAUUGCAGUGCAAUAGGAAUUUCUAGGGCGAAUGAUGGCUUCCCGUGAGCGUUGUUGCCUCGCGGUUGGUUGAAAAUCGAGUCCUUGGUAGGGUGUGCCAUGGUAGAUGGUGGUCGAGUUAGAACGAUACCGAUCAUGUGCAUGCUCCCCAAAAUAUGGCCUCUAUGACCCACACGCGUCUUUUGACGCUCAUGACGAGACCUCAGGUCAGGCGGGGCUACCCGCUGAAUUUAAACAUAUCAAUAAGCGGAGGA
rnacentral:misc_RNA from 1 species